rnacentral:rRNA from 1 species
AUUGAACGCUGGCGGCAGGCCUAACACAUGCAAGUCGAGCGGAUGAAGGGAGCUUGCUCCUGGAUUCAGCGGCGGACGGGUGAGUAAUGCCUAGGAAUCUGCCUGGUAGUGGGGGAUAACGUCCGGAAACGGGCGCUAAUACCACAUACGUCCUGAGGGAGAAAGUGGGGGAUCUUCGGACCUCACGCUAUCAGAUGAGCCUAGGUCGGAUUAGCUAGUUGGUGGGGUAAAGGCCUACCAAGGCGACGAUCCGUAACUGGUCUGAGAGGAUGAUCAGUCACACUGGAACUGAGACACGGUCCAGACUCCUACGGGAGGCAGCAGUGGGGAAUAUUGGACAAUGGGCGAAAGCCUGAUCCAGCCAUGCCGCGUGUGUGAAGAAGGUCUUCGGAUUGUAAAGCACUUUAAGUUGGGAGGAAGGGCAGUAGGUUAAUACCUUGCUGUUUUGACGUUACCAACAGAAUAAGCACCGGCUAACUUCGUG